AUUGAACGCUAGCGGCAUGCUUUACACAUGCAAGUCGAACGAGUGGCGGACGGGUGAGUAAUAUAUCGGAACGUGCCCAGUAGCGGGGGAUAACUACUAGACAGAGUGGCUAAUACCGCAUACUAUGGGAUGGGCCGAUAUGGGAUUAGCUAGUGGGUGGGGUAACGGCUCACCAAGGCAACGAUCCGUAGCGGGUUUGAGAGGAUGACCAGCCACACUGGAACUGAGACACGGCCCAGACUCCUACGGGAGGCAGCAGUGGGGAAUAUUGGACAAUGGGGGCAACCCUGAUCCAGCCAUCCCGCGUGUAUGAGAAGGCCUUCGGGUUGUAAAGUACUUUUGGCAGAGAAGCGUUAUCUGCAGAAUAAGCACCGGCUAACUACGUGCCAGCCGCCGCGGUAAUAC
rnacentral:rRNA from 1 species